rnacentral:ncRNA from 2 species
UAAUAAAGACGGGGGAGCCGGUGAAAGACAGACUGAGAGGAAGCAAAAGAGCAUCGUCCCCUUUUUACCUGAUACGGAUCAUGCCGUCGCAGGAAGUCAUAUUGAUUUUUUC